rnacentral:rRNA from 1 species
UGGGGAAUUUUGGACAAUGGGCGCAAGCCUGAUCCAGCAAUGCCGCGUGCAGGAUGAAGGCCUUCGGGUUGUAAACUGCUUUUGUACGGAACGAAAAGGUCUGCCCUAAUACGGUGGGCCCAUGACGGUACCGUAAGAAUAAGCACCGGCUAACUACGUGCCAGCAGCCGCGGUAAUACGUAGGGUGCGAGCGUUAAUCGGAAUUACUGGGCGUAAAGCGUGCGCAGGCGGUUAUAUAAGACAGAUGUGAAAUCCCCGGGCUCAACCUGGGACCUGCAUUUGUGACUGUAUAGCUAGAGUACGGUAGAGGGGGAUGGAAUUCCGCGUGUAGCAGUGAAAUGCGUAGAUAUGCGGAGGAACACCGAUGGCGAAGGCAAUCCCCUGGACCUGUACUGACGCUCAUGCACGAAAGCGUGGGGAGCAAACAGGAUUAGAUACCCUGGUAGUCCACGCCCUAAACGAUGUCAACUGGUUGUUGGGUCUUCACUGACUCAGUAACGAAGCUAACGCGUGAAGUUGACCGCCUGGGGAGUACGGCCGCAAGGUUG